GCAGAACUUUCUAGAGACGGCGGGACUGAGCCGGUUCGGGCUCAGUGCUGCGGGCGCUUCGGAAUUUUUUUUUCUUUUUUUUUUUUUGGUUCUUGCCUCCUUCUGGCUGCCUGCCCCCUCCCCCUUCUCCUGGGACCCUCGGACUCGGGAUCUCCCCGGCGGCCUCCCUUGGCCCUUCCUCCCUCCCUCCCAUCCCCGCCCGCUUCCCUGUCUAACCGGAUUCUUCCAGAUUCUUCUCGAUCGAUCUCCCGACAUCACUCCACCAGUCCGCUGCGCCUGCGGCGGGGUGUGGGGAGCGCAGGCUGCGGGAUGGCAGUGGCGGCGCCCCCUCCCCGGGACCGGCCGUCACCACGGGCGGCGUGGCCUCUCUGCUAUGACCCGCGUAGACCCUUCCCUACUUGGGGGAAAGAGGGCAAGGGCGUGCGCGGGGAGCGGGGAGUGAGUGGACAGCGCUGCCCCGCUGCAGAGAGCCGGGGAAAGCGACCUCGAUUUCCCCAGAUCCGAGAAGCCCCGGCCAGGCAGCGAUGCCUCGCUCAGCGCCUGCAGAUGCUGCGAGCAGCGGGGUUGGCAAGGCAUGGCCCGCCCAGCUCGGAACUCAGAUGGGGCACACACUCAGGGGACCCUUCCCGGCGGUAAUAAAACUGCCGUUUCCGCGAAUGCUUACAAAGAUGGGUUCCCCUCACGAAAAAAGUCACUCGGUUUUCCUAAAGGCCCACAGAAGGAGUAUUUUCUUCUCAAUGUUUGCUUCCCGAGUGUUUUUCGACAGGCUGUGGAGCGCGCAGGUGCCGGUGUCACCUAAGCUAUGGUCGUGGGACCUAGAGAGCCAUCUAGAGAGGGGCCUGGUUUUGCUCAGCACCUAACCCCAGUUUAGCAUAGUGCCUGGUGAGUGAUGUCCCAAUAGUUACUGGCUGCAUGAAUUUUCCUUUUUUAAAUUUCUUUUUCCAAGUCUUGGCUGAUUUUUUUUUCUUUUUUUUUUUUUUUUGAGACAGGGUCUUGCUCUGUCGCCCAGGCUGCAGUGCGGUGGUGCGAUCUUGGCUCUCUGUAGCCGGGACUACAGGCGUCCGCCACCACGCCGACUAAUUUUUGUAUUUUUAGUAGAGACGGGGUUUCGCCAUGUUGCCCAGGCUGGUCUCGAACAUCUGGUCUCAAAUGAUCCGCCCGCCUCGGCCUCCCAAAGUUCUCGGAUUACAGGCGUGAGCCACUGCGCCCAGCCUGAAUUUUUAUUCCAAUAAUAACUGUAUUUUUGGACUUCCCGUUAUGUGCCCGGCACUGUGCGAUUGGACGCCAUUAGUCUCAUCAAACUAAAUUGAAAGCUUUUUAGAGAUGAACUUUCAGCGUCAUAAUGUGAUGAUUUAUUGUAGUCCCUGCCGACGGAACUUGAAAGGGAUGCAGAAGAAAAAGCCCUUCGCUUCAGCAAUUUACAGCCCAAAUGAGUUGAGCCAUAAUGAAGACGUCUCUUUAGGUGGCUGGAGACAGCUUCAGAGGAUACGGGGCGCUGCCUCUGUAGGGGUUAAAUCCACUACUUUUAUGCAGAAGUAACAGUGCCAGGGGUCACCCAAACUCCGGGAGACCAGGAUGGUGGGUGCUGGCUUCCGGGGUGGCAGUUUACCGCAAACUGUCCUUGGCUUGCACCUACUGAUUCUCCACGUGUGGCGGUUUCUUUUCUGCGUCUUUUUCUUCAUCGGAAGCGGACAGUGUGGGACCCCCCCUUUAAUUCUGUUCGGCACGUACAUAGUGGAGCCCUUCAGAUUGCCUGCCGUUACAUUAACACAUAGCCUAAUACCCUAGUGGAAUGAGCAUGUGCUUUGGAGUAAGGGACGUUGGGCGGCCCAUGUGUUAUGUUAGCUGUUUAAAUUGGGGCAGGUUAGUUAAUCUUCAUGUCUCGAUUUCUUGUCUGUAAAAUAGAGAUAGUAACAUUUGUAAAAGAGGGUGAUUUAAUGGUUAAAAAAGCGGGAAUCUGUGUAUGGUAUCUAGCUCAGUCCUCGCCUCCAACUCCGCAGCUGGUAAAUAACGGUCGUUUUAGUGUGAUCUGAUAGGCGCUGCAGUGGAGAUGGGGACAAAGGGCUAAGAAAACAGAGGUCUGUGAGACAGGGAAGGGCAAGAGGGCAAGGUUCCCGGUGAGAAGCUCUGUCCCCACACAGUGAAGGAGGAAACUAGGGGACCACAGGCAGAAACUAGGAGAAACCACAGGAGGAAACUAGGGGUCUUGAAUCCUGGAGCAGGAACUUACUGUUUCUCUUAGAAUAUUUCCUGGUCGUUUAUGUGAUAUUUUUCUGAUCAUAAAAAGUACAUAUACUGU
rnacentral:lncRNA from 10 species